UCGGAGAGUGACGAGGGUCGGGUAGAGGAAUUUAAUCGGUCAUAAUCCGGUGUUUCCCUGGGUACACAGUUCGGUGGCCGCGGAUGCCUCGCGUAACGCAAUAUCGGCAGAAGGGAGCGUCUACGCGGGAAGCGCGAGGAUACUGCGCGAAGGGGCGCAAUAAUACUAAACCGGGGAACUUGAUCUAUGCUGGGAUGGCCUCUGGUUGGGAAGAAGAGUCAGCAUAUUUUUGCCUGGCACGCACAUUUCCCAAGGAGACAAGUGGGUCAGCCACUUGUUUUUGAAUUGCCAUUCGGUAUUCUAUACAUUUCAGAUGGUCCAUUUUCAGGGAAUCGCCCUUAGGGUGGCAAUUUAAAUUGGAACACGUUUGAGUACAUUUUCAAAAAUCUCGUUUUCAAAAAUACGACACUGGCGAUGUAUGUAAAAAAAUAUGUAAUACUCUGAGAAAUGAAUUUGAUUUAAGAGUACGUA